CAUCCCUGGAUCAGAUGGGGACAAAGUGACACACACUGUGUCAUCUCUCUCUGCUGGAACAAAAUACUCGUUCACUCUCUUCACCGUGUUUGAGGAAGCUAAAAGCACAGGACAUGAUUUCUCAGCAGUGACAGCUCCCCCUGCUGUUACCGAGGUGAUUGUGAAAGAACGCUCUGAGACUCACAUAGAGCUAGAGUGGACCAAAGUCAACAACAUCAACACUUACAUACUGAGAUAUAGCAAUGAAACAGAGACCAACAUCACUGGAUUAGCUGGGAAUACAGUGACACACAGAGUGUCAUCUCUCUCUGCUGCAACAAAAUACUCGUUCACUCUCUUCACGGUGUUAGAGGAAUUGAGAAGCACAGGAUAUGAGUUCUCAGCAGUUACAGUUGUCUGCAGUCCGAACUCUUGUCCUCCAAACAGCAUAUGUGAGGAGCGUGCUGAUAACACAUUCACCUGUGUGUGUCCCGGUGGAUUCAUCUUUAAUGACAUUUUCUGUCAAAAAGCGAAAGUCUUCCCUGGGGAGCUGACCUUGA